GGCUUUCCCGAAGGAUAGCUUGACUUUAAUUUCAUGGAUCCAACAUUCGGAUCAAGAAUCCAAAUUCUAAAGAGCUCGUCUUGGAAGAAGGUGCAAAGCAAGUUGAAGCAGCUGAAAGUAUUAGAGAACGCGUUGAAGAAACUGAAUAUGUUAAAUAGGUUGAAGCAGCAAAGGAACAUGUUUGCUGCUUCAUUAGAGAUUAGUUAAAGAUGUUCGCAUUUGUGCAUGCUACAAUAAUAAUUGCUCUUUUGUUAAGAGUUGACAAUAGAAUGUUAAACAAUUUGGAUGUAUAUACAUUAUGGUUGUGGAAGCUAUGAAUUGUUUUAUGAAGAUUGUUAUUUUCUUG